rnacentral:rRNA from 1 species
UAGCGGCGAGUGAAGCGGCAAAAGCUCAAAUUUGAAAUCUGGCACCUUCGGUGUCCGAGUUGUAAUUUGAAGAUUGUAACCUUGGGGUUGGCUCUUGUCUAUGUUUCUUGGAACAGGACGUCACAGAGGGUGAGAAUCCCGUGCGAUGAGAUGCCCAAUCCUAUGUAAGGUGCUUUCGAAGAGUCGAGUUGUUUGGGAAUGCAGCUCUAAGUGGGUGGUAAAUUCCAUCUAAAGCUAAAUAUUGGCGAGAGACCGAUAGCGAACAAGUACAGUGAUGGAAAGAUGAAAAGAACUUUGAAAAGAGAGUGAAAAAGUACGUGAAAUUGUUGAAAGGGGAGGGUUUGAGAUCAGACUC